AUGCUCUGUGAGGUCAUCACCCUUGAUGAUGGUCGCCAUGCAAGAUGGAGGGGCAAACAGGGCCCUCCGGCCCCUAUCGCAAGUAACCGUGACAAAAGUGUCGCUGUCAAAGGAGUUGUCUACUUCUUGCUGGAAUUUCGACGUCCCACAUUUUCUGGCGACCAUGUCGAACCGGGUAGCAUGGCUUUGUUCAACCUUGAGACAGAGGAGUGGAUGGGGAUUGUCAAAGGUCCAAUGCCAGUGCGCAGCUUUGUUGAGGACAGUGAUGGCAGGUCCAGUUACGUUAGUCUAGCCAUGGGGCUAUCGCUGGUAUGUUUGGAUGGGUUCUUAGUUAUGGCACAUGAUCCUGAAUAUUAUUGCCCUUGGGACUUGUGGUUUUUGAUGGAUAUUGAGAAAUGUCUCUGGAAUAAAAGGUACAGCAUAGAUCGCCAACGUGAAAAUCUCUUUGCUCAACCAGUGGACAUUCUAAAUGAUGGGAGGAUAGUCAUCUCUGCACCAGGAUUGCUAAGAUUGUAUAAUCCAGUUACCAAGACUUACACUGAUUGUGGGAUGAGGAAAUCCUCAUCUGUUGGUACUUACACUGGAAGUCUAUUGUCUUCAGAGAGCACGUUCACUUCUGAGGCUGAACGAUGCACUACCUGCCGCUGCUAUUUCACCCUUGAAGCCGAUAAAUAUUCUGACACCUGUGAAGAUUGUAUGUUGCGUGCAUAUGCAUGGUUAUGUUGA
rnacentral:rRNA from 1 species